CACAUACUUCCUCCGUUCGGAAUUACUUGUCGCGGAAAUUGAUGUAUCUAGACAUAUUUUAGUUCUAGAUACAUCCAUUUUCGAGACAAGUAAUUCCGAACAGAGGGAGUAACAU
rnacentral:pre_miRNA from 1 species